CGCACAUUGCGCCCGCCAGUAUUCUGGCGGGCAUGCCUGUCCGAGCGUCAUUUCAACCCUCAAGCCCCCCUGGGUGCUUGGUGUUGGGGACCGGCCCUCCUCGAGGGCCGCCCCCGAAAUGCAGUGGCGACCUCGCCGCAGCCUCCCCUGCGUAGUAGCACAACCUCGCACCGGAGCGCGGAGACGGUCACGCCGUAAAACGCCCAACUUUUUUCAAGAGUUGACCUCGGAUCAGGUAGGAAUACCCGCUGAACUUAA
rnacentral:misc_RNA from 1 species